rnacentral:lncRNA from 1 species
UAGAACUCUGGAGCAGAAGGUCUGAGUCAUCAUUCUAGAAAGAGGAUGAGUCGCAAGCCAGUACCAAGCAGGGGACAGUUUAGGGACAUGGGGUUCGAUUUCGGUUCCAUGUUUAAUGUGAAUAGAGCUUUCCUUUUCUUUCCCGGCCAUCACCGCUGCUUCAUAGUUUCUCUCUUCCACACAAAUAUCACCACUGCAAUCACCAUCGACACGCCUAUUCCUGGCGUCCGUUCCUCGUGAAUGUGAUCAUGCAGAUGUGCCUUCAUCAUCAUGGCAUGAACGACAUCUGGCUGGAAAGUUAGUAAGCAAAGGGGAGAACUGUUCUGAGGAGGACACGAUCCAAUCAAAUGAGCCUCUUCUGUUGCCUGCAUGCAUGACGGGUAUCACAGUUGUUCCGAGCGUAGAGCUUUAUUGUGAAGUCUGAGUACCGAGGGAUGUGAUGAUUUUUCUUUCCUCGAGGGUUUGUACCGAGGGGUUUUACCCAUGUUCCAUACGUCUGUAUUGUGACAUUUUUGUUUGUAUUGAGUUGUCAGAACACAUCCUUUGAUUUAUCUCUUCUGGCAAAGCCGUUGUGCCCCUUCCAUCUAAGCUGUGCAAAAUAUUUAGGAAGCUUGUUAGCUAUAUGCUCAAAUUUAUUUUUUGUUUCCUGUUUCUGAGCUUUCUGUCCAUAGCAGAUAAGCCCAGGGUUGUUUUCUGGUCCAACUUUGCUCAAACUAAUUAUAUUUGUCGACGGGACAUUUUUUUUCGCAGACCAAAAUUUCUUGAUAAAGUACCUUGUACAGUUUCCUUUUCAUUUGUUCGCAUAUAUAAAGGGGCAUGUUACAAGUAGUA